rnacentral:rRNA from 1 species
CAGCAGCCGCGGGAACACGGAGGGUGCAAGCGUUAAUCGGAAUUACUGGGCGUAAAGCGCACGCAGGCGGUCUGUCAAGUCAGAUGUGAAAUCCCCGGGCUUAACCUGGGAACUGCAUUUGAAACUGGCAGGCUAGAGUCUUGUAGAGGGGGGUAGAAUUCCAGGUGUAGCGGUGAAAUGCGUAGAGAUCUGGAGGAAUACCGGUGGCGAAGGCGGCCCCCUGGACAAAGACUGACGCUCAGGUGCGAAAGCGUGGGGAACAAACAGGAUUAGAUACCCGCGUAGUCCCUGUCUCUUAUAC